rnacentral:lncRNA from 1 species
CAUGUAGGGUCUAUAUGGGCUUAUUUAGGGUCAAUAGGGUCUAUAUGGCCCUUUUGGGGUCAAUAUGGGCCCUUUUUGGGGUCAAUAUGGGCUUAUUUAGGGUCAAUAUGGGCCAUUUAGGGUCAAUAUGGGCCUAUUUGGGGUCAAUAGGGUCUAUAUGGGUCCAUUUAUGGUCUAUAUGGCACUUUUGGGGUCUAUAUGGGUCAAUAUGGGCCCAUUUAUGGUCAAUAUGGGUCUAUAUGGCCCUUUUGGAGUCAAUAUGGGCCUAUUUAGGGUCAAUAUGGGUCUAUAUGGGCUUAUUUAGGGUCAAUAUGGGUCUAUAUGGCCCUUUUGGGGUCAAUAUGGGCCCUUUUGGGAUCAAUACAGGCAUAUUUAGGGUCAAUAUGGGCCCUUUUGGGGUC